AAAACACAAGAAAACCAAAUCUAAACCGCCCAAAGAAGCGGAACAUAGUACGAUGGAAUCAGACUCUAAACAACAGACUCCUCCUCUGUAUACAGAGCGCCUGCAACACCAAGAGCAUCAAACUGCCAUGGGAAACAAUUGCAGAGCUGAUGGGAGGUAGUAUCUCAGAUGGAGCAAUUACACAGCAUCUCACCAAGCUUCGUGCGAGGCUGGAAAAGGAAGGGGAAAAGGUGCCGCCACCUUUGAAACGUGGGGGAGCAACCUUUGUUGGGAGCGCGAAUAGUAACAAUGGACCAAAAGGUUCUACGGCGACUAAGCCAGGUUGUGCCAAUAUGAGAAUUGACGAAUGGAGUGAUGGUGAUUGCGAUGUUGAUUCGGAUGAUUCAGAUGAUUCGGACGAUGGUGACGCGGUGGUUGCUGCGUGCUUGAGAAACACGUACAAUCGCAGCAACGACAGCAACAGUAACAUCGAGAAGGAAGACGACGCGGACGUAGGUGGUGAAAUUCGCAAAGACAACAACAGCGAAAGCAGUAGCGAAUACGUUGCUGCAGGAGCCAGUUUCCUCCAAUUCCCAAACGACGGUGCUGCGUCGUUGGUGCCGAGUUACAACUGCAACAAUCACGACCACACCUAUAAAAACCAGGUCCAGCCAAAAGUCAAUGCUGGAUCAAAAGCCAAGUAUAAA
rnacentral:sRNA from 1 species